rnacentral:misc_RNA from 1 species
GAUGAAGAACGCAGCGAAAUGCGAUACUUGGUGUGAAUUGCAGAAUCCCGUGAACCAUCGAGUCUUUGAACGCAAGUUGCGCCCGAAGCCAUCAGGUUGAGGGCACGUCUGCCUGGGCGUCACAUAUCGUUGCCCAAUGCCUAUUGCAGUGCAAUAGGAAUUUCUAGGGCGAAUGAUGGCUUCCCGUGAGCGUUGUUGCCUCGCGGUUGGUUGAAAAUCGAGUCCUUGGUAGGGUGUGCCAUGGUAGAUGGUGGUCGAGUUAGAACGAUACCGAUCAUGUGCAUGCUCCCCAAAAUAUGGCCUCUAUGACCCACACGCGUCUUUUGACGCUCAUGACGAGACCUCAGGUCAGGCGGGGCUACCCGCUGAAUUUAAGCAUAUGAAUAAGCGGAGGA